rnacentral:rRNA from 1 species
GACGUAGGAUGCAAGCGUUGUCCGGAUUUAUUGGGCGUAAAGAGUUCGUAGGUGGUUCGUUAAGUCUGAUGUUAAAGACCGAGGCUCAACUUCGGGACUGCAUUGGAUACUGGCGGACUUGAGUGUGGUAGAGGCAAUCGGAAUUCCAGGUGUAGCGGUGAAAUGCGAAGAUAUCUGGAAGAACACCGGUGGCGCAAGCGGAUUGCUGGGCCAUAACUGACACUGAGGAACGAAAGCUAGGGGAGCGAAUGGG